GACUACCGGGGUAUCUAAUCCUGUUUGCUCCCCACGCUUUCGUGCCUCAGCGUCAAUCGAAGCCCAGCAAGCUGCCUUCGCAAUCGGUGUUCUAUGACAUAUCUAAGCAUUUCACCGCUACAUGUCACAUUCCGCCUACCUCAACCUGAUUCAAGUCUAACAGUAUCAAUCGCAGUCCACUCGGUUAAGCCGAGGAAUUUCACAACUGACUUAUCAGACCGCCUACGCACCCUUUAAACCCAGUGAUUCCGGAUAACGCUUGCACCCUCCGUAUUACCGCGGCUGCUGGCACGGAGUUAGCCGGUGCUUAUUCUGAUGGUACCCUCAGCACCCCAUAAAUGAAGUGGUUUGUCCCCAUCCAAAAGAAGUUUACAACGCUGAGCGCCUUCAUCCUUCACGCGGCAUGGCUGGAUCAGACUUCCGUCCAUUGUCCAAUAUUCCUCACUGCAGCCUCCCGUAGG
rnacentral:rRNA from 1 species